rnacentral:rRNA from 1 species
AACGAACGCUGGCGGCAGGCUUAACACAUGCAAGUCGAACGCCCCGCAAGGGGAGUGGCAGACGGGUGAGUAACGCGUGGGAAUCUACCCAGAUCUUCGGAACAACUGAGGGAAACUUCAGCUAAUACCGGAUACGCCCUACGGGGGAAAGAUUUAUCGGUUCUGGAUGAGCCCGCGUUGGAUUAGCUAGUUGGUGGGGUAAUGGCCUACCAAGGCGACGAUCCAUAGCUGGUCUGAGAGGAUGAUCAGCCACACUGGGACUGAGACACGGCCCAGACUCCUACGGGAGGCAGCAGUGGGGAAUAUUGGACAAUGGGCGAAAGCCUGGUCCAGCCAUGCCGCGUGAGUGAUGAAGGCCUUAGGGUUGUAAAGCUCUUUCAGUAGGGAAGAUAAUGACGGUACCUACAGAAGAAGCCCCGGCUAACUUCGUGCCAGCCGCCGCUGUAACAC